rnacentral:tRNA from 1 species
GUGGUUGUAGUUCAGUGGUAAAGCAUAGGCCUCCUGUGUAUGAGGCCCUGGGUUCAAUCCCUAGCAGCUUCC